UACGAAGGGGGCUAGCGUUGUUCGGAAUCACUGGGCGUAAAGGGCGCGUAGGCGGCUUUAUAAGUCGGGGUGAAAGCCUGUGGCUCACCACAGAAUUGCCCUUCGAUACUGUAGAGCUUGAGACCGGAAGAGGUAAGUGGAACUGCGAGUGUAGAGGUGAAAUUCGUAGAUAUUCGCAAGAACGACCAGUGGCGAAGGCGGCUUACUGGUCCGGUUCUGACGCUGAGGCGCGAAAGCGUGGGGAGCAAACAGGG
rnacentral:rRNA from 1 species